rnacentral:rRNA from 1 species
GAUGAACGCUGGCGGCGUGCCUAAUACAUGCAAGUCGAGCGAACAGACGAGGAGCUUGUUCCUCUGACGUUAGCGGCGGACGGGUGGGUAACACGUGGAUAACCUACCUAUAAGACUGGGAUAACUUCGGGAAACCGGAGCUAAUACCGGAUAAUAUAUUGAACCGCAUGGUUCAAUAGUGAAAGACGGUUUUGCUGUCACUUAUAGAUGGAUCCGCGCCGCAUUAGCUAGUUGGUAAGGUAACGGCUUACCAAGGCAACGAUGCGUAGCCGACCUGAGAGGGUGAUCGGCCACACUGGAACUGAGACACGGUCCAGACUCCUACGGGAGGCAGCAGUAGGGAAUCUUCCGCAAUGGGCGAAAGCCUGACGGAGCAACGCCGCGUGAGUGAUGAAGGUCUUCGGAUCGUAAAACUCUGUUAUUAGGGAAGAACAAAUGUGUAAGUAACUAUGCACGUCUUGACGGUACCUAAUCAGAAAGCCACGGCUAACUACGUG